GCCCAUGAACAAAAGUGCACCCCCUUUUCCAAUCGGUUAAGGGUCUUGGGAUAUUUAGGGUUAAGCGUCUUUGGGUUUGAAUAGUACUAGGUUGGGUGACCUCUUGGGAAAUUUAAAUUCAUGAGCU
rnacentral:rRNA from 1 species